GAAGCAGGCCAGACCGCCGCUGGUGCGAACGGGGAAACCCGGCACUGGAGGAAGGUCCGGACUGCACAGAGCACCGUAGCAGCUAACGGCUGUCCACCGCGAGGUGAGGAUCAGAGCAACAGAGACGAGUCGGUGCGGGGACCCGCCCGGGUGUUCUGUCACGCGCCGGCGCAAGCCGGCACUGGGGCGCGAAGCGCCGCAGCCGAGGGCGCAAGCCCGAGGAGCGUGACAGCCGCCCGGUGCGGGGCGAAGCCGCGCACCGGGUGAAACGGGCAAUCUCUACGGGCAGCAACACCAAGUAGGCCGGCGUCGAUGUGGCUCGCGGAGCCGGCGGGUAGGUGGCACCGAGCCGGGUGGGCGACCCCCGGCCCAGAGGAAUGGCGGUCACGGCCGCCUUCGCAAGAAGGCGCGCCGCACAGAAUCCGGCCUAUCGGCCUGCUUCACAC
rnacentral:RNase_P_RNA from 1 species